AUACGGAGGAUCCGAGCGUUAACCGGAUUUAUUGGGUUUAAAGGGUGCGCAGGCGGCCAUUUAAGUCAGCGGUUAAAUCGUGGGGCUCAACCCCAUUCUGCCUUUGAUACUGCCGUUCUUGAGUACAGUUGAGGUAGGCGGAAUGUGGUGUGUAGCGGUGAAAUGCAUAGAUAUACCACAGAACGCCGAUUGCGAAGGCAGCUUACUAAGCUGUUACUGACGCUGAGGCACGAAAGCGUGGGGAUCAAACAGGAUUAGAUACCCUGGUAGUCCACGCUGUAAACGAUGAUUACUGGUUGUUAGCGAUAUAUAGCUAGUGACUGAGCGAAAGCAUUAAGUAAUCCACCUGGGGAGUACGUCGGCAACGAUGAAACUCAAAUGAAUUGGCGGGG
rnacentral:rRNA from 1 species